rnacentral:rRNA from 1 species
GCCGGUGCUUAUUCUGUCGGUAACGUCAAAACAGCAAAGUAUUAAUUUACUGCCCUUCCUCCCAACUUAAAGUGCUUUACAAUCCGAAGACCUUCUUCACACACGCGGCAUGGCUGGAUCAGGCUUUCGCCCAUUGUCCAAUAUUCCCCACUGCUGCCUCCCGUAGGAGUCUGGACCGUGUCUCAGUUCCAGUGUGACUGAUCAUCCUCUCAGACCAGUUACGGAUCGUCGCCUUGGUGAGCCAUUACCCCACCAACUAGCUAAUCCGACCUAGGCUCAUCUGAUAGCGCAAGGCCCGAAGGUCCCCUGCUUUCUCCCGUAGGACGUAUGCGGUAUUAGCGUCCGUUUCCGAACGUUAUCCCCCACUACCAGGCAGAUUCCUAGGCAUUACUCACCCGUCCGCCGCUCUCAAGAGAAGCAAGCUUCUCUCUACCGCUCGACUUGCAUGUGUUAGGCCUGCCGCCAGCGUUCAAUC